GAUACGCUGGCGGUUGCCUAACGAUGUAAAGUCGAACGAAAGUUAUCCUUUAGUGGCGGACGGGUGAGUAAUACGUGAGAAUCUACCUUUAUGAAGGGAAUAACAAUUGGAAACGAUUGCUAAUGCCCUAUAUGCUUAGCAGUGAAACAGAUUUAUCUGCCUGAAGAUGAGCUCGCGCCUGAUUAGCUAGUUGGUAGAGUAAAAGCCUACCAAGGCAACGAUCAGUAGCUGGUUUGAGAGGACGAUCAGCCACACUGGGACUGAGACACGGCCCAGACUUCUACGGAAGGCAGCAGUGGGGAAUCUUCCGCAAUGAGCGAAAGCUUGACGGAGCAAUACCGCGUGAGGGAAGAAUGCCUGUGGGUUGUAAACCUCUUUAAUUAGGGACAGAAAUAUGACGGUACCUAAAGAAUAAGCAUCGGCUAACUCCGUGACAGCAGACGCGGUAAUACGGGGGAUGCAAGCGUUAUCCCGGAAUUACUGGGCGUAAAGCGUCUGCAAGUGGCUUAAAAAGUCUGCUGUUAAAUAUUAGAAGCUCAACUCUGAGUAAGACAGGGAAACUGUUAGGCUACAAGUAUGGUAUGGGUAACGGGAACUCCCAGUGUCACCGUGACAUGCGUAGAUAUUGGGGAAAACACCAGUAGCGAAAGAGCGUUCUAAAACA
rnacentral:rRNA from 1 species